UGACGGAGUGCUGGCACACGCAGAGGAGCAGCAGCAGCAGAACCAUGGCAGAGGUCAGCACCAGGAGGACGCUGAAGGACUGCGGAGAGGGCCCUGCACAGACGCGAGGAGAGAUCGGCCGGGAGGUGUUUACAGGCACCCCGAUGAGCUCACUCCGUGGAGCUUCUGUGCUCGGACACCGGAGUCUCCCCAAGCUAACAGCCUGGCGACCCCCGGCUUCACGGUCCUGCAGUAAGUGAAACCGACCGCCUCGGGGUCACUGGCCCCCUUGGUGCUUGUCACUGCAGCUGUGCGUGGUAACAUCACCAGAGUAAGCGGGAGGGAGGGAGUGCCCCCAGCAGCUUCCUCUGCAGUGCCCUCUGUCCUCCCAGGUCACCUGGCGGAGGACGCGGGGCCCUCCCACAGGCCGCCGGUUCCUGUGUCUGCUCUCAGCCUCGGCAGAGGCGCUGUGAUUCCCCACUGUCCCUUCCUUCAUCACACUGGCAUUUGUGGGUCCAGGAGGCCCUUGUGAGUCACGGGCUGCGUAACAGCUGCAUGCAGAUUUCGUAAUGCUGCUGUGUUAAACAACUCCCACUACUCAUGUCCUUAGGGAAAGAAAAAAAAAUAUAUAUAUAUAUAUAUAUAGUGCACCGCAGAAGAACUGCAGUACCAGCCGGGCGUGGUGGUUCAUGCCUGUAACCAUAGCAUCCGGGAGGCUGAGGCAGGAGGAUCAAAAGUUUGAGCCUAGCCUGGGCAAACUGACUUAGGGAGAUCCUACCCCAAAAUAAAAAAUUAUGAAGGGCCGGGGAUGUAGCUCAUUGCUGAAGGCCUGGCUUCAAUGUCCAGUACUGCAAAAACAAACCAAAACAAAGCAGAACCCAACCAAACAAGAAACCAAGAAAGAGCAGCAGAAAAAACUGGUGCUUUACUAGCCCGGGGCAGGGGCAGUUUCAACGGUCAAGAUGCGGAGUUUGUAAGCACCAAGUCCGAAGGGUGAGGGUGAUUAUUAUGUGCCACAAACACGUUAAUAAAACAGGAUCACACGGAACGACACCAAACCCCUAGAACUGCAAGUAAUUUUAAUUUUUAUAAAAGUAAUACAAUUUAGGUAAAUUUCAGAAAAAUUUAAAAUUUUACAUUAGUUAGAAUUUACAUUUUCGAUAGAUACUUUGGAAAACUUUAUGUACUAUACACAUGUGCCCAUGAAAGAAUCUAAAAAAUCUGUAAGAAAAGAAUAACUUUAAAAACACACAUGAAAAAUGAUUUUAAUUUGGAAAGUCUGCAUUCUUAAAGUCAAUUUUAUAUUAAAUACAGUGCCUACAAAUUCUGUAUCUGCAGGGUCUGGUUACAAUCAUCACUGACCUCUUUAGGUCGUGGCUCUCACCAACACACUCUUCACGUGAAAUUCUCCACUUUAAGGAAACAGAAACGAGAAAGAUGACACUGUAGGAAGCCAAACCCAGAACCAGGAGGUGUGGUCCCUGUAACCACUGGCCGGGGUUGGAGCCAGCCCCGCAGACUUGGGGUCAGUUUGCCAAAUCCAGCCACCUGUGUCCACUUGGCAGCUGCUACUGGUUUUUAUGUCGUUCCGUGUCCCAGCCCAGAUCCGGCACUUCCUGCUCCUGGGCCGGUGUUGAGAGGUGCGGACAGACACUUGCUGCCGAUUCAGCCAAUACCCACCUUGUCUUCUUUCACGGGGCCUGGUACAAGGGGACACUCGUUAAGUUCUACCCCUGAGCUGCGUCCCCAGCCGGAUACAAGUGUCCUUGGAGUGGCCGCCUGCAUGUGCCAGCGCCAGCUCUGCAGCAGGGCUCCCUCCUCUGGACCCAGCGCUCGCUUCCCUCCAGCUCUUUCUUUUCUUUCUUUCUUUCCUUCCUCUCUAUUUUUUGAGACGGGGUCUCACUACGCAGUUCAAGCUGGCUUUGAACUCACCUUGUAGCCCAGGUUGGCCUCAAACUCGAGGUUAUCUUCCUGCCUCAGCCCCCCAAGUGCUAGGAUAACAGGUGUGUGGUACCGCGCCUGGCUUACCUACCAAAUAUUUUAAAAACCACCUGUGAGGUGGCCUGAUGCGGGCUUUCACCCUAACUUCAAGCAGGUCGUGAGUAUACAUGGUACCCGAGCAGAGCUCUGAGAGCUGUGAUGUGCCAGGAAGACACCGGUACCUGCUGGCGUGAAGUCUGGGCUCCGGGUCUUCAGCUAUGCUUUGGAAUUUCUAUGCUCAAAGUUGAACAAGACCCUCCAUUUCUGUUAAAGGAAGGUGGCGGCUCUGAGAUCCCUGCGGUCCUGUGGUCUCCUUUCCUCUGCCUUCGUCCCUUCCUGAGCUUACACAGACUGCAACUACUGUGUUGAUAAACGUUUUCUAAUACUGAAUAAUACCUCGUGCUGCCGAGUUGCUUUCUGUACUGUAGAGACUGCAAAUACGUGAAUUACCCUUUUCUUUAGCAUCUGUCUUGGUCACUUUUCUCUCAUUGCUGGGACCAAAUACCCAGCACCCCAAAUGAAGGGAGGAAAGGUUUAUUUAGCUCACUGCUUGUGGAGGUUUCAGUCCAUACUCAUCUGGCUCCAAGGCAGGGUGGCAGGGCACAGGGGCAACGCUUCAGGGCAGCAGCCAGCGCAAAAGGACAGAGAACAAACCUCUUCUCCUCCCACCCCUCAGAGCUGGUGUAGCACUCUCAAAAUCUCUGUGCAUAGGUGAGGAUAUUUAUAAAUGAGGACCUGGCUCCCUGCUGAGCCUCUCAGUGAAACUUCUGAACUUCUCAAGCUGACGCAGCAUAUCUCCAGAACAGCCUCUUGCCAGUGACCAGGUGAGAACUACUAUGAUCACCCUAACGCUGGAGAAAGAGAAGCUGCAGGAGCCCAAGUGGCUGAGCCCGGGUUAGCGACAGCCGCUCCUACAACCUGGUGAUCCCGCUCUGUUUUCACGACCUGAUUCACUGUUCCUCACGCUCCGCGGAGCACCCAGUCUCCGCUGUACCCCAGUGACCACGCCAUUGCACAGUUCAGGACGGGAGAAGCCUGGCACAGAACCCAGGACUUCCGCUUUGAAAGAGACCUCUGAGUCAGGCACACGCGGUGGCGAUCUGGGAGCCACUGGGAUCCGAUUCCUGUGAGUGCACGGGCCGGCGCUGACUCAGCACAGGACAGCGAGGCUGUCGUUGGGCGGUUUGCGAGCCCAGUCAGAAACCACAACAGACUCAUCUAUGUAAAUGAUACCAAGAAACAGGUGGACACCUUAAACUCUGAGAAAUGUGACGGAAACAGAAUCAAGAGUCCCGCAGUUGGCACCUUGUGGAACAAUCUAGAAUAACCCUCAGAGGGCAUUUUUCACUGGGGGUAUAGCCCAGUGGUACAGCAGUGCCUAUGCACAGGUCUGGCGUCCAACCCGCAGCACAAAUGUAGAAAUUGUAAAGAGCAUGCAACCAAACCUGUUAAGUAAACAAGCGUUCUGUAUCUCAAAUUCAGACAGAGAUGUCUACCAAGUACCACUGAGGGGGAGACAGUCUUUGGGCUGCCAGUGACAAUUGUCACUCUCAGAGCAAAAGGACCCCCAAAACAACAUCCAGGAGCAAUGUGACUCUGCUGAAGGCCAGCUUCUGCCUGCGGGGCCGCUUGGGAGGGUGGACAGUAUUGCUGGCACCCACCGGGCCUAAUGAAUACCCCAGUUCAUCUUCAUAAACUCAACCACUGCCAAACCUCACUGAAGUAUUCUUCCUCCGAGUCAAAAAACAAGGUAUCAGGGGCCAGGGACUUGGCUCAGCGGCAUAAGCGCCUGCCUGGCAAGUGCAAGGCCGAGUUCGAUCCCUGGUACCAACCCCCCCCCCCAAAAAAAAAAAACAAAAACAAAAAAACAAAGCCAAGGUAUCAGACGCCAGAGUUUAUUUCCUCUGAAUGUUUUGCUUCUGUGUACUGGGAUUGAACCCGGGCCUUGCACAUGCCAAGCCAAGUGCUCCAUGCUUCCCUCUUGCUUUUUGAAUUUUAUUUUGAGACACAGUCUUGCUAAGUUGCCCAGGCUGGCCUUGAACUUGGGAUUCACCUUCUUCAGGCUCUGCCUGAACUUCUGAAUGCUGGUACAUUCUCUACAAAACAAUCCUGCUCGCAAGGCUUUCGGCUUCGGCUCCACACCUGUUUCUGAGUUUCCACUGCGAUUACACAGGCCAUUAGUUUUCACUGAGUCAUUUUUUUAGUUAACUAUCACACUACAUCAGAGCUCCAAUUACCUACUUGCAAGACAUAAAUACCGUGUGUGUCCGAAUGCAUCUGUGUAUGGGUGUAUAUUCUACAGGCUCUGUCCCUUUCAAUCUCAAGCAAUUUGCAAGUUUCAUGUCACUAUCAUUAAGUUAUUUUAGGGCUCGGGAGGGUAGCUCUGGGGCAGAAUGGGCAUCCAGCACAUCGGAGACUCAGCACUGAAAUACAUACAUAAUAAAAAAUGAAUCAUUCUCUAUCCUUUACCAACUCAAUGAAUCCCAGGCCACGGUGUCUACUGCAGUGCCCUUCGGGCCUGUGCCCCUGUCAGUCCCCUCUACUGGGACUUCUUUGGUGUUACUAUGCCUCACACUCCGGUUGCAGGACCUUUCCUUUGCUGUCUGGUUUAAAAUGCUCAUUUUCUCUCUCUGCAUGACUUGUCCUCUCAUCUUUAGAUUUCUUCGGAAAAGUCUCUGCCCACGCCCUCGAAGCGCAUGUGCAGAGCUAUCCUCUCCUUUUCUCUCCUUCACAGAACACGUGACAGUCUGGCACGGUCACGUGCUGCACA